AGACAGAUAUUUGACCAUUGGAUUUUCUUUGGAUGGUAUUAAAAGUUUGUGAUCCAUGUGUGAGCAAGAAUAAACCAAUAAUAAUCAAGUAUUCUAUACAACACUAACUAUAAAAGCCAUCUUCUAUGAAAACCCUAGACCCAUUUCAAAUUUCACCAGCCUCCUAUUUUUCUUCCCCCUUAUCUCGGUCUAUUCCCUUCAACUCUAACCCAUUGCCAAGAACGACGCCUUCAUCCAACUCGCACCAUCUCUCUAAAACCCCUAAAUCUCCCAUCACCACCGAUAAUGUCUUCAUCCACCAUCUCGGCACUUCCAUCAGCUAUCACCGCACCUCUGAAGUCCCUCCCUCUCCUUCUUUGCUAAGAAAAUCUCGCCUAUUUACACAUUCACUUCCGAAAAAUACAGCUACAUUUAAAUCUUGAACAUCAGCCAUAGUUCUUGCACCACCAUUGUUGUAACAACCAACAAACACCAUCGACAUGUUUUAGUUUGUUAGGAAGGAGGUGACUAAAAUUCAGAUCUGAAAAUGUUAUUUAAGCUAAAAGGAAUAUGUGAUCUAUAACACAAAUAGAGCGUUGUAGGAAGGAACUACUCUACUUCCUGUAAUCAUUUUUUGUAUAUAAUGUUGUUGAAAUGUUUGAUAUUUUUAGAGAACGAGCAGCUGUCUUCAUAUUU